UACGUAGGGUGCAAGCGUUGUCCGGAAUUAUUGGGCGUAAAGAGCGUGUAGGCGGCCCGAUUAGUCCGCUGUGAAAGUCCAGGGCUCAACCCUCGGAUGCCGGUGGAUACUGUCGGGCUUGAGUACGGAAGAGGCGAGUGGAAUUCCCGGUGUAGUGGUGAAAUGCGUAGAUAUCGGAAGGAACACCAGUGGCGAAAGCGACUUCCUGGUCGAAUACUGACGUUCAUGUGCGAAAGCGUGGGGAGCAAACAGG
rnacentral:rRNA from 1 species